CUUCUACUCCCUCAGUCCCAAAAUUCUUGUCUUAGUUUUGUCUAGAUACGGAUGUAUCUAAUACUAAAACGUGACUUGAUACAUCCGUAUUUAGACAAAUCUAAGACAAGAAUUUUGGGACGGAGGGAGUAGUUG
rnacentral:pre_miRNA from 1 species